rnacentral:misc_RNA from 1 species
UGAUAUUCUGCUUUACUUUUCAAUCAGACGAAACGAACCAGAAAAAUCAUGGCUUCUCAGGUCCUCAGACGCGCUCUAGGAAGCCGGUCCUCCCAGAUCCUCUCCUCCACCACCACCGCUGCCGCUGCUCCUAAUUAUUCCUUAUUAGCUUCUGCAGCCAGGGCCUUCUCCUCCGCCACAACUCCGAUCACAGCCACCCUCUUUCCCGGUGACGGCAUUGGCCCCGAGAUCGCUGAGUCUGUCAAACAGGUAUUUAAAGCAGCUGAGGUGCCAAUUGAGUGGGAAGAGCACUAUGUUGGGACUGAAAUAGAUCCUAGAACCCAGAGUUUCUUAACAUGGGAAAGUUUGGAGUCAGUUAGACAAAACAGAGUAGGUUUGAAAGGGCCAAUGGCCACACCCAUUGGCAAAGGCCAUCGUUCUUUGAAUCUCACUCUCAGGAAAGAACUUAAUUUGUAUGCCAAUGUCAGGCCUUGCAACAGCCUUCCAGGCUAUAAAACCCGGUACGAUGAUGUGAAUCUUAUUACUAUCCGUGAAAAUACGGAAGGGGAAUACAGUGGACUUGAACAUCAAGUGGUGAGAGGUGUUGUUGAAAGUCUCAAAAUCAUUACUCGUCAGGCUAGUUUGAGGGUGGCUGAAUAUGCUUUUCACUAUGCAAAGACCCAUGGUCGGGAGAGAGUGUCUGCAAUUCACAAGGCAAACAUUAUGCAGAAAACUGAUGGUCUGUUUCUUAAGUGCUGCCGUGAGGUUGCAGAGAAGUACCCUGAGAUAACAUAUGAGGAAGUUGUUAUUGACAACUGCUGUAUGAUGGUAUAUUAAAUCCCUUUCUUUGGUGUUUUGUGUAUUUGGCUUUUGUUUGUGGGAAACCAAGAGGGGAAAGAAAAGGAGGGGAGACAAAAUGGAGGAAUAGAGAGUGAAGGGGGAUAAUAAUUCUCUCCUGUUGUUAAGGAGGGAGAAGAAAUGAGAAGAGUAAUUCUUUUCAUUAAUUCAAAUUACCAUAAUGGCCUUCACUGUAUUCAAUGGAAGAAUUAAUUAUAUGGACAGAUUAGUAAAUGCAAUGAUUUUCACCCCAAAUUGAGAAAGUCUUUGAUGGCAUCAAGCCAAAAGAUUCUUUCACCUCCUUAGGGCUAGAGUAACUGGUAACAUUCUCUUUGCUCCUUCUCUUACUUUUCCCUCAUCAUUGCCCCUUCCCAAUCAUAAGGAUUAGUGUCUGAUGAAGGGAAGAUUCUAAAAUACACUGGGACACAGUGGUCCCUGUAGAAACAAAAAACAGUUUCUUCCUUGAUCUUAGAAGGUGGGUCCCGUGUAUUUUGUGAGAGAGGGGUAUAAACACUAGAUGCACCUGAUAAUUCCUCUUGAUGAAGAAAAGGUCUCUCUUUCUAUCUAUCUACACGCACACCCCCUAUACAAGGAGGGGAAAAAAACUGUGUAAAGACACAUCUGAUUACUUGUGUCUCUGUACAGCUUGUGAAGAAUCCAGCAUUGUUUGAUGUAUUGGUGAUGCCUAACCUCUAUGGUGACAUUAUCAGUGACCUGUGUGCAGGAUUGAUUGGUGGUUUGGGCUUAACACCAAGCUGCAAUAUUGGUGAAGGAGGCAUUGCUCUUGCUGAAGCCGUACAUGGUUCAGCACCUGAUAUUGCUGGGAAGAAUUUGGCAAAUCCCACUGCCUUGCUGUUAAGUGCUGUCACAAUGUUGCGCCAUUUAGAGCUCAAUGACAAGGCUGAUAUGAUCCAGGAUGCUAUCCUUAACACAAUUGCUGGGGGAAAGUACCGAACUGCAGAUCUAGGUGGUACUUCAUCUACAACUGAUUUUACAAAGGCAAUAUGUGACCAUCUUUAGAGAUUCCUAUGGAGAAUUCUUUUAGUUUCACACUGUUCUUUUUGGAGCCAUGUGUAAAAACUGUUUUUAGUUGUUUCCAGAGGGGAAUAAGACUGCAUAACUGAGAUGGUUGUAUAGAAGAUCCUUAAUAUUGCUGUUCCUAAGAUAUAGGAGCCAAAUAUUGUGCUCCUGCCUAUUUUAAUAUCUCAAAAUGAACAA